AACAUAGAUUGGGGAGGCUGUAAAGAAGACUUGAAGUAAACAACUGGAUAUUGUUUUAGCAUUGGAUCAACAAUGUUCUCAUGGAAGCCAACUAAGCAAGACACUAUAUAUUGCUCAAUCCAUCCACCGCAAAAGCUGACUAUAUGGCAUUGUGCGCAACAACAAAUCAAGCUAUGUGGUUGAGGAGGUUGUUGUAAGAUCUAAAAUUCUCCUCACAAGAGGGAGUACACAUCUACUGUGAUAGUCAGUCAGCCAUUGCCAUUGGCAAUAAUCUUGUUCAGCACUGAAGGACCAAACAUAUUCAAAUCAAGUAUCAUGUCAUCAGAGAAGUGGAGAGAAACGGUGACAUCAAACUGAAGUCGAGAGUGAAAAGCAGCUAGCUGACGUUCUUACUAAAGCAUUGGGAAAAGAGAGUUUUGAAAUUUUUCGUGAAGAGCUUGGUUUGAGCAACAAAAUUUCAAGCGGGAGUGUUGAGUGAUGCCUCUUUUGUUGCUAAAACCAAACUAAAGGAAUUGGAGAAAGUAACUAGAAGCUACAUUUAAAAGUUUAGUGAACUAAGUAUUUAUAAGUACCUUUGGCCUUUUGCACAAAUCCUGGAAGAUCUAGAUGGAGCUGGUCUACGAAAGGUGAUGUCCUGUACUAUGUAAGGAGUAAGCUUGUAGGUGUAAUAGAGUUGUUGAAACAGAGUAUUAUGCUUUUGUAAUGGAUUUUCAAAAGAAACAAGUUUAAGAAAGAACUCUCUCCCAUCAAUGCUUUCUUUACUCAAAUCAAAACAAACUACAAGCAACUAAGAAUCAAAACACCCAGCCACAACCAUGACAUAUAGAUAUAGUACUAAGAAUUCAUUGUGUUUUUUUAACAAAUGGUAAUAGUAGAAGUGAGUGUAUUUCCAUGAUGAUUUAGAGAUUUGAGAUAGGAGAGAAAGACUACUUCUAGAUUAAGGAGUAAAUGAGUAAUGUUUGAUUCUCAGUAAUGUAUCGAAGGGAUGAAGUUUUAACGUUUUUGUGCGAAUUGAUUUGUUAUACUUGCUUACGUCUCCUUGUGCUUAUAGAAUUGUUGAUAAAUGUGACUUAAAGCUAGUGUUAUGACUUGGUAAGAACAACAAGGAUGGCAGGAAUGAGAAAACUACUCAAAUGACUAUGAGUAAAAAAAAAGUAUUUCACUUGGUCCCUCAAUAAAGGCAAAUUUUUGCUACCCAAAUUUUAAAUAAUU
rnacentral:sRNA from 1 species